rnacentral:lncRNA from 10 species
UAUACCUCCGGGGAGCCCCGCCCACAUUGCAUGCGGUAGAACAUGAAGAGAGAGAAAGCCUGUCUAUAUAGUGAAAGAAUGAAACCAAUACAUUGAAAAAAACUGAGAAGAGAAAGAGGUAGAGACUUCAUCUGAUACAAGCAUGCUUGAAACAAGAGACACCUGUAUGAUUCCAUCUUCCCAGGAGCUAGCAGGCAGUUCUUGUUGAGUUCAAGCCAGUUGAGACCAUCAACCCUUCAACUGAGCCUGCAUGGGUGCGUAAAGUGUGACCUUUUGAUGUCAAAGGGCCAAAACCUGCACCCUCCUUUCAUGCUAAUUCAACCAUUUUCUGAACAUGCAUCCUAUGAAGAGCCAUGUAGCUCAAUUAUGCUUGUGCAGAAACCCUGAUUACCUCACCUUUCCCACCUGCCAAUCACCUUUACCCAUACUUCACACCAUCCUGCUUUCUAUCCCGCUAAUUACCCCUAAGCCCUGUUUUCAGGGAGGUGGAUUUGCGAUUUGUUCUCCUUCUCCUUGCUCAGCAGCCUGGUAAG